CUGGCUGACUCAGUGAGACAGCAAAGGGUGAGAAUCCUAUAACCAAACUGCUGUGUUGGGACUCCUACCCCUCAGUUGUUUUGCAAUCUUAGAAAAGUUACUGUAAACUUCCUGGAUCAGUUCUCACCUGUAAAAUGAAGAAUGAUGUUAGGUAGUGUCUUCUUUCAGAUUUAUGCAACUAUCUUUCAAAUGACUGCGGGGCAGAGUUCACUGGAGAUGGGGCUACAGAGCAGCAGCAGCUGUGUUUCUCUCCUCUCCCAGGUCAACUAGGAAUACCAAAGGAGACCACCUGGGACCGCAACAAGACAGGAAUAGAAUGACUUCAGGAAUCCACCAAAUCACUGGUGAGUGCAAACACAUGUGGCUCAUGGACAGCAAAGAACCUAAGGAGAGAUUGAGUGGCUGGUAACAGUUCGGCAGUUUACCAGUUAAGGCACUACCUCCAGUCUGUUUUACCAACAAAAAGACUGCUGAAGGGGGGAGAGACUCCCCUAAGACUCACCAAAUGUAACUGUGAGUCCCUAUUGCUACUGCCCUCAGAAGCUGAAGCAGCAGGGGGAGGCCCUGUGCUGACAUCUGGGAACAGAGAACUGACCAGGAAACUCAGGAGAAGAGCUACACCUUGGUGGCCUAGUAGUGGGGCUGUAUAGUGUGAGCCUUUGCACAUUGUUCUCCUGAUGAGAACAUGGUGAAUAAUUGCCUCAGAACCUACAGAGUGUAAAUGGCACUUGUUUAGAAACUCACAGGCCCCAGCAGUGCUGCCCCGCUUGGUAGAGAAGCUGAAAUGAUCCUGGAGAUUUGGAUCCUUGGGGUGUGAGAGUCUCUUUGCAUGAUCACUGUGCUAUCUGUCCCCCAACCUGCUUUAUCUCUUGGUCAGGAGUGAGUGAUUAAGCUAAGUAGCCUACUUAUAGUUUUUUUUAAAUUUUAUUUAUUUAUUCCCAUUUGUUGCCCUUGUUUUAUUGUUGUAGUUAUUAUUAUUGUUGUUGUUGGAUAGGACAGAGAUAAAUGGAGAGAGGAGGGAAAGACAGAGAGGGGGAGAGAAAGACAGACACCUGCAGACCUGCUUCACCGCCUGUGAAGCAACACCCCUGUAGGUGGGGAGCCAGGGGCUCAAACUGGGAUCAUUACUCUGGCCCUUGUGCUUGGAGCCACCUGCACUUAACCCACUGCACUACCACCUGACUCCCAGCCUACUUAUAGUUUAAAAGCCCUCAGGCUCCCAUAGCCUACAGGGAAGAAAAAGAACGAAGGAGACUUUUAACAGUCUCUGUGCUCCAACUCAGGGAUUAAAAUAAUAUUGAAACAACUGUUAAUUUCCACAUCUGUGAACUCUUUAAGUACCUUAUAUAGACACAAGUCAAUCCAGGCAAGAGUGAUCAGUAAUUUGAAAAGUACUGAAAGUACUUUUUUCUAUAUAUGUUGUAGGAUGGGGCCCACUGUCCCAGAAAGUCCAGGCCAUUGUUUCCUUGAGGUCCAAGCGGGUUGACCUCCAACUCUCCCUUCAGGUGGAGACAAAGGCAGGUUCCCCUGACCUUCUGAACUAAUGAUGGAUGUCCUCUCUGGAAUGGGGGCUACCUUUCUGCACAUGCCCCUCCUCUCCCCUUAAAACAAAGGCCAUGAAUUACUGUACAUUGUGUUUGGCCUAACUUGAAAACCACCACAUAGGUUCUUGCUCAACUACCCCCUUCCCUCCUCCACUGAAGUGCCUAUAAUUUACCCCUGGGGUACUAUGCAUUAUGAAGCUUGUAAUCAAACCUUGUAUGGUAAUGUUAUACUUGUGAUCAAAUAGUUUGCAGGUCAAAAUGCGGCUAUGCACUGUGUUGCUCUGUGUUUGGGUUAAUGAUUAUCUUGACCAUCUCCCUGUGCAAUGAAUAUAAUUCGCCUGCUUUUUCUCUCAAUAAAUGCAUCGCCCACCUUUCAGAGGCUGCUCCUGGA